UAAUCUCAAGAAAAAAAGAGAGAAAAUGUCGACAUACAUCGAUAUCAAUUUGGUAAAAUAUGUAUGUAGUUGUGGUAAAAAGCAACCAUUCUGUCGGCUAUAUCUGUGCAGGCAUUGCUCGGAACUGAGAUGUGUUGACUGUGUACAGCAUGAGGGCGACAGUCACUACUGUUCCCACUGCCUGGAGAAUAUGCCAUCCGCCGAGGCCAAGAUGAGGAAGAACAGGUGUUCUCGGUGUUUGGACUGCCCGGCUUGUGGCAACACACUGAUGACCCGCGCCACCAACCUCAUGGUGACGACACCCGAUGCUAACAAGGCAUCGACUCCGACGACGCCUAAGAAAAUGUACUACCUCGCUUGUGGUUUCUGCAGGUGGACAACGCGAGAUGUGGCCAUACCUGACCAGACUGUAGCAAGUGGGGGUUUGCCAGAACAAGAAAAUGAAGCUAACAAACUGAUUGCUCCACUGUUAGAGCAUUAUCAUCUUCUUGCACAGAAAGAGAAGACGGAGAAGGAACGUAAGAAAUAUGUCAAGCGGAGAAGUCACAUGUACUACGCUGCAGAGAAGGAUAAGUAUGGAUUAAUCUCUGUUGCAAUGAAAAAGACGUCACUGGCUUCGGCUCUGACUACCCACAGUUUGAAAGAAGAUGAAGUGAAGAUGGUAGAACCAGUAGCAGGAACAGUGACAGACUUCGACGCUUUGCCAGCCAGUGUGUAUACUGAGCCACUCGACGUUUUAACUGUCACGACGAUGUCCCAGAGACUGGCUAAUUGUGAGUUUCAGCCGGUGUCGAUGUUGGGGCUGUACCCGCUACGUAAACAUCUUCUUCUCAGAAAGUCACUUCGCUGCAAGGAAUGUGAGCACAACUUGAUCAAGCCUGACUACAACCCACUGUCAAUCAAGUUCAAGAUUCAGCUGAAUGCUAUAAACUUUGUACCAGAUAUACGAAUCCAGUCACCCGCAGUAUUCAUGAAGAACAAGGAAACUCUGGUUUGUCUCACAGUAAGCAACCCAUCAGUCUACAACAUGGCUGUCCACCUACUUCCUGUAGAGGGCGCUGUCGAUCCCCUAGUCACAGCUAAGAUUGAUCUUCCAAGACAGGAGAUUGUGAUCUGGAAGCGUGAUGAUGCGGCCAUAUAUGAUGACACAUCACAGCUACAGCACGAAAUACGGGAUGACCCCAGUUUGGUUGCAUUCCGCAAAGCGAACAAGAUAGGAUUGUAUGUCAGAGUGACACCUUUUGUCGAUACAGGAGACGUUACGGUAAACUUCCAUGUGAAACACGAGUAUCGCAACACGACAGCCACUAUUCAGUCUGAAGUGAAGGAACCGCCUGUCGUUUGGCUUGAUCACCAGGUGUUUGUCACAGUCGGGAAAAUUCAGCAGUAACUUCUUCAUCCACGGAAUAGCUUUAAAUUGACUUAAUUUAUCUUUCCAUCAUUUCUUAUCUUUACAGUGCUUAUUUGACAUUGAAUUUGGUGGACUAAAUUAUUCUUGCAUAAUUAUUCAUCAUUUAAAUUAUGUACUUUUAGUUUUGCAGUAAAUUUGCUCUUAGCUUUUAGUUCAGCUGGUUAGCUAUGGGAUGGAAUUGUUUAAUACUUUACAACUAAGAUGAGGUUGUUUGUAGUAAUUUUUGGACAGUAUCUUUAUGACUUUCAUCAUGUUGAUGAAUAAUCAUAACAACUGGAAUGGUAUGUCGCUCUUUGAUAUUUGCUAGUUAUUUUUAACGGGUCAUUUGGUGCUGCAUUACUUCUGUGUAAUAUUUGGUAUAUGUGCAAUAUUGAAAUGUAUAUCUGUUCAGUUUUCUUAUUACAUGUACAUAUCAUGUAUCUUUGUUUAUAGUCAGUUUGUUUUUCCAUCUAAAUAUUAUUAACUCGAGGUCAAGUUGCAGAUUUUGCAAAUGUAUGUGUUUAAUUGUUACUGUUACAGUUGUUGUCAGGAGGUAGGUACAGGGAAACCUCUCAAAACCGGACCCCCUAUACACUGGAAUUUCCUUUUUAAAAAAGGACAUUUUACAUGGUCCUUUUUUUUAAAUCUGUACAAAACAUAACCUCUCUAAACUGGAUACAUCUUAAACUGGACAUUUUACUUGGUCCCGAGGGUGUCCGGAAUAGAGGAGUUUGACUGUAUUUUAAUAAUGAAUUGUGUCUGGUAGUUACAUUCAAACAUACUAACUUACUUAAAUACAUGUACUGUUUGACUUUUUCAUUAGGUUGUUUACAGUAUGACAUUAAAGGUGCUAUGUCAAAGUUGCAGUAAUGGCAGUUCCUGCCAAAUAUAUUUAUAAAUGUUUGCUUUGAAACAUGUACAUGUAAGUUUAUACCUUCAACUACAUGCCUAAACAAAAUACAACUAAAUAAUUCCAUUUACUAGUAGAAUUUGGGGUUUUAUAGGGGACAAUCUUGAGAAUGUGUCACACAUUCAACAUACUAAGUUUACCCAGAAUGAUUUGUGGUCAACUGACAAAAGAAACAAAGAUGGUGACCAUGCUUUGUCUCAUCCUUAGGUAUAUGGAACAGAGCUAUCCCAUGAAAGAAAGCCAUGUAAAAAAUGUCUAUCUUACAUGGGAUAUCACACCCUUGCGUUUAACAUGAUGUCGGUGGUAAUAUAUGACAUCAGAUUAAUGUGAGGCAGUGACAUGAGAUCAUUAGACACAGUUUUAAAUUAAUAUUUUGUUAUUAAAACCUUCAUUAUAAAAGCUAUCUUGUUAGUUUGUAGUGUUAAAUUUUAUUUAACACAUGAAACAAACACAAUAAAUAUGAUAGUGUAGU
rnacentral:misc_RNA from 1 species